rnacentral:sRNA from 1 species
GACCUAAACCGUCAGCCCUCCAAAAGCAGGCGGCAUGGUCGCAAAUCGUUGACUACAGAAAACCCGUCAUUCAGGGCGUAGUCAACGUUGCAGAGGGAAACUUCUGUAGAGCCGCAAGGCUC